UGGAUUCAGGUCAUUGCUCCCUGUCCUCUCUCCGAGGCGCCGCGGAAUGUGACUAAUUCCCUCCCUUCAUUUACGGGUCCUGUUACCUGGGAGGUAUUUAUAGUGUGACAGCCUCCCUCCCUCCCCAGCGACUCAGCUGCUCUCCCUCCAGGCCAUCUCUCCCCCACUCAGCCAACCUUUGCCUCCCCUCUCCUGCCACAGCUCCACCACCUCCCCACGAGCCCUCCCCGCACCUGCCAUUCCCCUGGCAGGAGGAGAGGCAGGCUCAGGUGGGAGGGGCCUGAUCCAGUGGAGUGGAGUGCUAUCUGCAAGGGGGAUGCCCCUCCCCUCUUGAAUACCCCAAAAAGGCAGCUUAGGGGCCAGGCUGGGGGACGGCGACAAUUGGCUGACCCCUCUGUGACCUCACCAUGCAGUCUGAUAUCAACAAGAGGCAACAAUUAUUGAGUGCAUACUGUGUGCCAGGUAACACUGUUAACUUUCGUUUGCAGAUAAGGAAACUGAGGCUCAGAAAGGCCAAAUGACCGCCCUCAGGUCUUUAUAGCUGGGGUGGGGUGUUCCUGCACAGCCACCCUCCAGAGCCCAGCAUGGUGUGUGGGAAUACUGGCCCCAAAAGGCAGGUUGGGUCGGGUAAGGACUGCAGGAUCCUUAGGGGGUACCUGAUCAAAACCCAUCUCACAGACCCAGUAGUGUCCCUACUGGUCCCAAGCCAUGGCUGGUCUGCCCAGGGGUUGUCAGGGAAUGGCAUCAGAUGGAGUCCACUGCCUGCCCCACACAUAUCCCCUCCUCCAAGCAGGGAUCACUAAGGAGGUGGAGUGGGAGGGCACAGAUCUAGCCAAAGACAGAGAACAGGGGAGCCCUGUGUCCAAAGAGGAUGAAUGAAGGGAAACUACAGCAGAAGGGAAGGAAGUCAGACCCCAUGCGGAACUUACAGGUAUGGAAGGCCAAGGCGGGGACCAGCUGCCCUUUCACAUCUCCAGUCUCACAACUGCCCUACGCUCCUUUUCACAGCUGGGAUGACUGAGACCCUGAGAGGCAAAGAGACCAGCUCAGGUUUUCCCAAAUUCUCUAACCAGAAAUCCACAAUACUCAUAAAGUGGCUUUGUCAAGAUUUCUAGGAGACUGGAGGGAAUGGAGGAGGAGGCUGAGUUCAAAUCCAGCCUUGUACUCACAAGUUUGGUGACAUAAAGCAAGUAACUUUGCCUCUCUGUGACUUGAUUCCCAUUUGUAAAACGGGCUGACAUCACACCUCACUCAUACGUGGCCAUAGGACUCAGGGACCUGAAACAGGCAGAGUCCUGAGCGCGAGGCCAGGCAUAUGGCGGCAACUCCACGAAUGUCGGCAGGUAAUACUGUGGUUUGUAUUUUUCCCCGCUUCUUUCUUCUCUCUCAGAUCUGAGCAAAGGGGCCAUAUCUCUUCCCUGAGACUGAGGCAUCCUGAGGACAAGAGCUGUGUUUCUACCAUCAGCCUGCCAUCAACUGUCCUUGGGACCAGGAAGUCCCGGGCAGGCUGCUGUCGGGAACUAACCUUCACUACUGUUAUCAUUAUUUUCAUUAUCAACAGUCUAUCAUUCUCUAUGGCUGUAGCCCCACCAGCACACACCCAGCUAGGCUUUUGGCUCUUGUCUGGAAAACACUGCCACAAAUAUGCACCACAGUUCCCACGUGAGCCCCAACUAGGGUGUCACACUGGGUCCAACAGCCCCCACUGUACCGCCAUCCUCCAUCACCACUAACCCCCACCAUGGGGUGCCAGGAGCUGGCCUGGAAGAAGAAAGACACUGAGUCAUUCUGAUUCCUGCUUCAGGGAGCCAGAGCCAGGCAGCCCAGGCAGCCCCUCCAAGGGGGACAUCAGGGGCAGGGUUAGGUCCCUGGAACACUCCUGGCAGCCGAGGGGCUGAGCAUGGCGUCCCCAGCAGCCAGAUUUGGGAGGGGGUAGAGGUAAGAAAUGGCAGGGCUUUAGUGACUGGGCCCUGACAGAACAGGAAGGGACAGCAGCAGGCAUCUGUGAGCACCCCUAUCCAUCUGGCACCUGGCCAGGUCUCCAUCACACUGGGAACAAGGGAGCCCCACUCAAUUUACAGGUAAAGGCUACAGACUCAGGGAGGUCCUGUCAACUGCCAGCGAUCACACAGCACCUAGUAGGUGGGGGCAGGUAAUACCUGCUCAGAUGCCCACAACCUUUGAUCCUCAUGUCCUGAGUGGACAGCCAGACCCAAGGUUUGGGUGGGGUGGGUGGAAGCAGCCAGCAACGCUGUCCAUGCUGGCAGAUGGAGGGUGGGAGCGAGCAUCACAGGAGAGUGGGAACAGAUGCCAGGGAGCAGGACAGUGGAAGUGAGGCGCUCUGGGCCAACUCUUCAGCAGGGCAGUGCAAUGGGGUGCAGCCUAGGACUGGACAUCAGAGGCCUUAGUCUUCAGCCUGGCUCAUUCCAAGCCUAUUGUGGACCUCAGGCAAGGCCUGGCCUCUCUCUGAGUCUCAGUUUUCCCCAGUGAUGCUAUGGCACUCUGAGAUCCAAUAUUCUCCCUAGCAGUUCUGAGUCAGGCCUCCCCAGGCGUAUCAACGGGGCCCUGAGGCUGAGGGCCAAAGAGGGGUCUGUGCCUAGGUGGCCCUCCCCUCCCCACCCAUGGGCACACAGGGUCCUCGUUGAAGAAAUACAGUGUAUACAAAUAAUUAAACGGAAGAAUUGGAGUGAUUAGGGCAGAUGAUUAUUGUCAAAUUAUGAUUUAUCUUGUAGUGGAAUUAGUAUUCCCCCAAAGGGCCCGGCGUGGCGCGGCGCCCGCCACGGCCCGUGAUUAAUCGCCGUCUCCAGAAGGUCACCUCCAGCCACUGCAGAUUAACUCAGUGGGGAAACUUCUUUCCGUAAUUCAAGCUGUUGUUCCCACAACCUGUCAUCCGCCUCGAAAAAGGACGAUUUCGUCAGGGAGCCCAAGGUGGGGGCUGUCCGCUCUCCCAGCCCCUCCCUGCUGCAGACAUGAUAUAUGCGUCCAGAGGCAGCCAGGAUCUGCGGUGUACGGCGCAGCCACCACCCCCUUCCCCAACACACACAGGCACCCAGCUCCAGCCAGGGCUCUCAGCUUUGCGUUCCUGAAAUGUGCUUCCUGUCCCCAGCCCUCAUCUGGUAAACUUUUAUUCAUUCUUCUCACUCCAACUCCUUUGUCCCUCCAGGAAGAGAGGGUGUCCCCAGGCCCAUUGGGAACCCCAUCCAUAUGAGCCUGGAUCCCCA
rnacentral:lncRNA from 1 species